rnacentral:snoRNA from 1 species
CCCUUCUCAGGGUCGCAUCUGGAGAGUUUCCAGUCCUCUACCAGUCUCGGCUAUGGGAGGGAGAGUCAAGCAGAGGCCUGUCCAUUCCAUUCCUAACUCGGGCAGUAUCUAGCGAGUGGAAGGCAAUCGGCUACAAGU